GGACGCCACGUCAUAAAUUGGGCUCUCCUGUGCGCGACAUGUGUCCUCUGCACUGCGUUUCAUUAAAGUGUUUUCAUAUUGUUUCGGGCUUGGUGGUGCGCUUCAUCUGUGGCCCAUCGACCACAAGCUUUAAUUAUGUCUUCUAUUGUUCUCCUUCUCAGCCGUAGGAGGUUUUGUGUUUCCAUGGAAACUGAUCAUUCUUCCUCCUGAUCCAUCAAUCAACAGGAGCCGUAGCGAAUCUAGAGUUUCCAGCAAACUAUUCAUCUUCUUCCUACUGAUCAAGUAAUCAAUCGGUUACGAAAUCAUUGCUAUUAAAUUCUCUCUUUAAAUCAAUCUACACGAUCUCUCUUCAAUGCUACUUUAGCUCUUCAAAGGCAGUGGUGGUUCGACUAUAAAAAAGGUUCAACCCACUCUUUCUUCUCCGCCAUUCAGCUACUGCUUACUGAGCACAGAAAAAUUGAUGACUUCCCAGAUCCAGAAGCAAUACGCUAGACGUCAUGUCUCAAUAUGAGGUUAAUUUACUUCUGGGAGAGUGAAUCAAUCAUCUUUUUGAGCGAUCUCCAACAGAAGAUUUUGUUGGUAUUUUUUUAAUGAAAAAUACCGAUGGUACAUUAGUAACAACUAAUGCUGGGAUGGACAUUGCAUUCCGUCGGAAGAGGAGAAAACCGACAAGUAUUGGCGACGUCGACACCAGAUAUUAAGGCAACAACCAUCAGAUUCAACCUUUGAUUUACAGCAAAAACAGUGUUCGAGUGGCUUCACCUCUUUACCUUCUCUUAUUGCUACCAUCGUGUUUGCUUUCCUUGACAUUACCUCUUUAGCUGGACUACCUGGUAAGCAAUUCAGGCCAACAAAAACAACUGCUUAAGUUUUACGCUCAACUUGAGCUUCACAUUUCAUCGGACAACGUGUGCUUCUGUUUACGAUUUUUAUAUUGCCAUUAACUGUUGAUCCAAAAAACAAAUCUAAAGGCCUACAUGAUUUUAUGUAUGUAGAUAAUUAGAAGAGCUUAGUGCUGCAAGCGGUCAAAUUAUUAUGUUAUCAUUGUAUUUUAAGAUCACAAGAUUCCGUAGCUAACUUGCCACUUCAACUAUACAAGGUAACAGAAAUUCUUUGAACCUCAUAGUAAAAGCUACAUCUAUGGUCACUUUAAUGGGUAUGCCUUUUCUGCAUAUCAGUGGUCCAUUUUUGAAGUGCAAAAAGUGGUACUUGGAAAACAAGUAAGUUAAAAAAUUUCUUUAAUUCUGGAUCUUUUCCUCUUCAAGAAAGAUGUAAGAUGGCUUUUCUUAUUUCCAGAUAGACUACUCUUCGUAGCCCUGUUUGUAACCUCAGUACAUGUGAUGGUGAGAUAUGCUUAUUCAAAUUUUAGAAUUGAUGUUAGUCUUUUAGUCCUUCCAAUAAAAAGAUCGCAGAUUAAAAUAUUUGUUUCUUUUGUAGGAAUAAUUCAUACACUAACGUUAGGAACAUUUGGUAUUUUAAAUGAAAGCUGUAAAAUGGAAGAUGAGAUUCUAUCUUACUGGAUUUCAUAAGUUUCACAGAGACGAGAGUAUAGCUUCUUUCUUUUGUCAAACACAAGUUAUUUGUUUUUUCAUUAUUUUAGUUACAAAUGUGUUUCUAUGUGCUCUUUUGAUUUGUUGAAAAAGAGGUAGUAGAGAAGACGAAUUACACAAACACAUAACAUGGAUAUGUUGAUGAAUGUUUACGAAAAAUAUAACAUACAUGAUGAGUGACUGGCUAAAUCAAUAAUAGAUAGAUUAAAAGUUGUAUAGGAACAAAAGCAUUUUAGGUGACGCUGAAAAAUAUGCAUAAAAAGAAGGAAAUCUGCUACAUCUAUUUGUAUUCACACCUGGUCAAUUAUAUUUUGCAUUAUCAAGAGUAGUGAUUACGCAAAAACAAACCAAAUGUGCGACUAUCUUUGAAUAAACCAGCUAGGUAACAAAUUCUUUUGCUUAUGUUUGUGUUCCAUUUAUGAUUUAUUGCAGAUAUAGGAUUUAGUUUACAAGUCGGAAGCCCAUAAGAAAACACAUCUAAGUUAAUUAUAAAAUGUAACUAUGUAAGGUCAUAUUUUUCCCUCGCAGACGAUGCUUCUCGAAGCUCUAAUGAAUUAAUCUGAUGCUUCAAAAACUAUAACAAUAAUGCUUCUUUGAUGGUCUGUUUCUCUGUCUCGGUAGGCUUCUUCACCCAUUUUCUCUACCAUAUUUAAUUAGUAUCUUUACCACUCAAACGACUCAUAUCUUGUGGGUAAAUACUAUGAAAGCUUCGAUUGGAAUUUUGAGCAUAUUAGCAUUGGCACAUAUCGAUAAGAACUCGCUACAACCGAGUAAACUAACUAUGGCGGGUAUUUGUUUCUUAACUACCAAAAUUUAUGUCUUUAAAUACUAGACUUUGCGGAUGUAGAUUUGAGUAGGCUUAUUUUGGAGAUAAAUAGUGUGGAAAAUUAUUGUAGUUCAAGAGUUUCUGAAGUAUUUUGGUGGAAAACAUUUGCUACGAACCAGCUGGGAGACCAACUCCUCCCUAUUGCUCUUAGUCAGACCCUCAAACCAGCUCUUAUGCGGUUUGGUUCCAGUUCCAAGUUGAUAAGAAAGCGAAAAGGCUUUUACUUUCUCUUCCAAUGAAUUUUAUUUGCAGAAACUAAGAGUUUAUUCCGAGAACUCACUUUUUUUUUUCUAAUUAUAGCUGUCACACAAAAGUGGUUACAAUUAGUCAAACAAUAACAAACUACUUUAUUAUACCAUUUCCAAAUAUUGAGUUUUAUAAUAAAAUAGUGUUUAAAGCAUGUGUUAUAUUUCAAAUCAUUAGGAAAGACCAAUGUAUUAUUUUCACAUAAGAAACGAAAAUGGAGAUUAUUGCAAAUCAAGCCCAUCCUUUAGAGCUUGGACAAGAACUACCAACUUCAGCCAUUUAAGAUUAUAAUAUCAGGGAAAUACAACUGAAAAAUGCAACCAUCCUUCAGCUAAUAAGACGCCUAGCAUAUAUCAAAUGGAACUUGCCCAAGCUCCAACAACGCACUUUUUUGCAAGCAUAGCCGUAUCAUGGCUCCUGUAAUCAUAGGGUUUAUGGUGAAUAUAACAUUAACAGAUUUCUGAAAUUCAUCCCUCAUGGUUUCUGUUAUUCUAUUAGGUUAUAAUACUUAUUAACAAAUAAGUGUCAUAUACAUAGGCUAAAAUGAUAACACACCUUAAAGGAAUUAUUGGGCUGCACAGAGUUGUACAUAUACGUCAUGCAUCCUUUUUAUUAGGACAUUCAGUCAAUAAAAAAAACAGUGUGAAUCAUAUCAGUUAAAACCUGACCUUCUUUAUAACAAUAUAAUACAUAUUAUAGACAAUUUGUUUUUAAAUACACAGUGUAAGAGAAGUUACUUUAUUUAGAAAACUAUAUAAUAAAUAUCAUGAAAAUCAAACUCUUAAUAUAAUAUUUUAUACACAAACACUUAGUAUAAACACAACCAUUCUUAAUAACAAUAAACAUUAUUAAACACCACAAAUUCUAACAUAAAACCCAUCCAAUAAAAAUCUACAAUAAUAUAGUUCAUACAUCAUCACACGACAAUC